CGCGCAGUCUGGUCCCUGGCAGUUGGUGCAGCCGCCUUAGCUGCAGACAACGUGGUUUUGCUUGACUCGCUCAUUUACGGCCUUACCCAGCAGAUGCACAUAGGUGUAGUUGCCGUCCUCGCUGCGACUGCUCACGUUAGCAGAGCUUGAGCUCUGAAGAGCCCUUGAGCUGUGAGGAAAAUAAAUGGCUGGAAAGCGUCAGAAAAGCUGCUGCUCCUAAAGCUGAAAACUAGCUUCAACAAUGAAAAAACCUGGAGAAAGGGGCCUCUUCUUUUGCUGGAACUGAUGGGAUUCGUGCUGAGUAAUGGAAGAUACUGAAAGAUCGGAAAGAUACUGAAAGAUACUCACAUGGAGAAGAGGAGGGAACUGAUCAGGUUGUUUGAAGGAAAACCAGGAAACUCUCCUGGAGAAGAGGGGAAUUCUCCAGAGCGGGGGUAACUGGAGAGUGUGUGGCAAUUUCCUAACGUGUCUGUGCAAAAAUUCUGUGGUACGGCGUUCCUUUGAGAGGCGAUGGAAGGAGCAGAGAAAGAGGAAAGUUAUCAUCCAGCCCUGUCCUGUUUCUCCCAAAAUAUGGUUCUAUAGGGUUCAUCGAAUCCAACAGUUUGUCCAGUGUUUACUACUCGAGUUACGUUACCAGCUUAUUUCUCAAACCUUUCAAAAAUCAUGAGGAUAUUCCUUCCAUAGUGCCUUCGAAACACCAUUCAUCGUCUUGCUACUUAUUGAGUCUCAUGCAGGAAGAUGUUUUUCAAGGCAUGCUGGAACUCUUCCAAAAUUCACAUGCUACUGAUUUGUUUGGUUUGUCAUUUCUUUCAAAUGUGUUUGUCAUAAAUAAAACAUUUUGAAAAUCACA